CGCAACACAGAUCUUCCCAUCCAGCAGCAAUAAAUCCUCAUCAUUACAGUACCAUAGCAUCACCCAUUACUGAGCAGCUUACAUACUUUAGUGGUAUAAGUGAUCGAAACUAGUCCCAACACAAGCACUAGUAGUUGGUAACAGAGUUGCAUCAUAAAGAAACAUCGUCAUAAGUUCCAGGUGACUCGCAGGCCUCAAGCAGCAGGUAAAACGAUCAGCAAAACAAGAUAGCCAAACGCUCCAGCAGAAUGGGUACUUCAUAGAGCGGCCGCCUCUCCACCACUCGGCUUGGCGCUCAAAUUCUCCACAGCACAAUACCCUGGCAUGACCUACACGCGCAAAGACAAGCACCGCGUCUGUUAAUGAACAUCAUCCGAGACAGUAACUUCAGGCUUCAGGGCGAUUCGUACAGCACCAGAUGCCUUCAGGCUUCAGGAUGGAUUUUGCCAGUUAAAUGAAUCUAUAUAUUCGUAAAAGGAAACCCACUAAGCCCAGUGUACUGUUCACUGAGCUCUUUGUCUUGAUUCUUACCAGUGUUGCUUCACCAGGUGCCCCAUUUGACCGUUGCCGUUUUGAAUCACGGUCUUGCUCAGCCGUUGCAAGUUCAUCCCUUGAAUUCUUUCU
rnacentral:lncRNA from 1 species